rnacentral:rRNA from 1 species
AGAGUUUGAUCCUGGCUCAGGACGAACGCUGGCGGCACGCUUAACACAUGCAAGUCGAACGAGAGAAGAGGAGCUUGCUUUUCUGAUCUAGUGGCGGACGGGUGAGUAACACGUGAGCAAUCUGCCUUUCAGAGGGGGAUACCGAUUGGAAACGAUCGUUAAUACCGCAUAACAUAAUUGAACCGCAUGAUUUGAUUAUCAAAGAUUUAUCGCUGAAAGAUGAGCUCGCGUCUGAUUAGCUAGUAGGUGAGGUAACGGCUCACCUAGGCGACGAUACAUAGCCGACCUGAGAGGGUGAUCGGCCACACUGGGACUGAGACACGGCCCAGACUCCUACGGGAGGCAGCAGUAGGGAAUCUUCGGCGAUGGGGGCAACCCUGACCGAGCAACGCCGCGUGAGUGAAGAAGGUUUUCGGAUCGUAAAGCUCUGUUGUAAGUCAAGAACGAGUGUGAGAGUGGAAAGUUCACACUGUGACGGUAGCUUACCAGAAAGGGACGGCUAACUACGUGCCAGCAGCCGCGGUAAUACGUAGGUCCCGAGCGUUGUCCGGAUUUAUUGGGCGUAAAGCGAGCGCAGGCGGUUUGAUAAGUCUGAAGUUAAAGGCUGUGGCUCAACCAUAGUUCGCUUUGGAAACUGUCAAACUUGAGUGCAGAAGGGGAGAGUGGAAUUCCAUGUGUAGCGGUGAAAUGCGUAGAUAUAUGGAGGAACACCGGUGGCGAAAGCGGCUCUCUGGUCUGUAACUGACGCUGAGGCUCGAAAGCGUGGGGAGCGAACAGGAUUAGAUACCCUGGUAGUCCACGCCGUAAACGAUGAGUGCUAGGUGUUGGAUCCUUUCCGGGAUUCAGUGCCGCAGCUAACGCAUUAAGCACUCCGCCUGGGAGUACGACCGCAAGGUUGAAACUCAAAGGAAUUGACGGGGGCCCGCACAAGCGGUGGAGCAUGUGGUUUAAUUCGAAGCAACGCGAAGAACCUUACCAGGUCUUGACAUCCCGAUGCUAUUUCUAGAGAUAGAAAGUUACUUCGGUACAUCGGUGACAGGUGGUGCAUGGUUGUCGUCAGCUCGUGUCGUGAGAUGUUGGGUUAAGUCCCGCAACGAGCGCAACCCCUAUUGUUAGUUGCCAUCAUUCAGUUGGGCACUCUAGCGAGACUGCCGGUAAUAAACCGGAGGAAGGUGGGGAUGACGUCAAAUCAUCAUGCCCCUUAUGACCUGGGCUACACACGUGCUACAAUGGUUGGUACAACGAGUUGCGAGUCGGUGACGGCAAGCUAAUCUCUUAAAGCCAAUCUCAGUUCGGAUUGUAGGCUGCAACUCGCCUACAUGAAGUCGGAAUCGCUAGUAAUCGCGGAUCAGCACGCCGCGGUGAAUACGUUCCCGGGCCUUGUACACACCGCCCGUCACACCACGAGAGUUUGUAACACCCGAAGUCGGUGAGGUAACCUUUUGGAGCCAGCCGCCUAAGGUGGGAUAGAUGAUUGGGGUGAAGCCGUAACAAGGUA